rnacentral:rRNA from 1 species
AGCUCCAAUAGCAUAUAUUAAAGUUGUUGCAGUUAAAAAGCUCGUAGUUGGAUUUCUGGAGGGGUGCCGAAGUCCGCUCGAUAGCGUGUGCUGAGGCGCCCUUCCAUCCUUCUGUUAACGUUUCUUGGUAUUCAGUUACUGGUUUCGGGCUCAGAUAUUUUACCUUGAGAAAAUUAGAGUGUUCCAGGCAGGCUUGCGCCGGAAUACAUUAGCAUGGAAUAAUAGAAUAGGACUUUUGUCUCCUUUGUUGGUUUGAGGGACUGGAGUAAUGAUUAAUAGGGACAGUUGGGGGCAUUAGUAUUUAAUUGUCAGAGGUGAAAUUCUCGGAUUUGUUAAAGACUAACUUAUGCGAAAGCAUUUGCCAAGGAUGUUUUCA